rnacentral:rRNA from 1 species
UGGGGAAUAUUGGACAAUGGGCGCAAGCCUGAUCCAGCGAUGCCGCGUGUGUGAAGAAGGCCUGCGGGUUGUAAAGCACUUUAGGUGACGAGGAAGGUACGGGAGUUAAUAGCUCUUGUAAUUGACGUUAGUCACAGAAUAAGCACCGGCUAACUCUGUGCCAGCAGCCGCGGUAAUACAGAGGGUGCAAGCGUUAAUCGGAAUGACUGGGCGUAAAGGGCGUGUAGGCGGAUAAAUAAGUUAGAUGUGAAAUCCCUGGGCUUAACCUAGGAGCUGCAUCUAAUACUGUAUAUCUAGAGUAUGGGAGAGGAGAGUGGAAUUUCCGGUGUAGCGGUGAAAUGCGUAGAUAUCGGAAGGAACAUCAGUGGCGAAGGCGGCUCUCUGGCCUGAUACUGACGCUGAGGCGCGAAAGCGUGGGUAGCGAACAGG